CUCAGGCCCAUCACCCAUAGCCUGCAUGAUAUAAGAGGAUAAUACAGUUAAAUGGCAAGUUAAAAGGGAAGGGUUUAAUACCCCACAGGAGAAAAGUAAUAAUUAGGCAAAUGUACAGUAAACCUGUCAUGUGGUGUGUUUAGAGGACCCAGGAGCCGGCAGGACUAAGCAAGAGGUGUCGCUGGGUGAGAGAAGAAUAACACGCGACAAAGUUCCAUCACCAAAAUGGCCACUGCCAGAGGGUAAAAACGAGCUGCGGCCAGUGAACAGAGAGGGCGAGGGGGAGGGUGGCCACGCGCACUAAUAUCCACGCGGUCCACCCGGACAGAACGGGGGGCCGCAGCUAACUUGCCGACGGCCCAAUGCGGCCCAUGGGCAGGGAGCGUUGGGCAGCCCAGCAAGAAGCCACCCACGCUAUGAAAAGGGUGGAGGAAGGGAUACCAGAACCUCCAGCGUGGA